rnacentral:rRNA from 1 species
UACGUAGGGUGCGAGCGUUAAUCGGAAUUACUGGGCGUAAAGCGUGCGCAGGCGGUUUUGCAAGUCGGAUGUGAAAUCCCCGGGCUUAACCUGGGAAUGGCAUUCGGGACUGCAAGGCUGGAGUGCGGCAGAGGAGACUGGAAUUCCUGGUGUAGCAGUGAAAUGCGUAGAUAUCAGGAGGAAUACCGAUGGCGAAGGCAGGUCUCUGGGCUGACACUGACGCUCAUGCACGAAAGCAUGGGGAGCGAACAGG